rnacentral:rRNA from 1 species
UACGAAGGGAGCUAGCGUUGUUCGGAAUCACUGGGCGUAAAGCGCACGUAGGCGGAUUUGUAAGUCAGGGGUGAAAUCCCGGGGCUCAACCUCGGAACUGCCUUUGAUACUGCAAAUCUCGAGUCCGAUAGAGGUGGGUGGAAUUCCUAGUGUAGAGGUGAAAUUCGUAGAUAUUGGGAAGAACACCGGUGGCGAAGGCGGCCAUCUGGACCGCAACUGACGCUGAGGCGCGAAAGCGUGGGGAGCAAACAGG